UACAGAGGGUGCAAGCGUUGUUCGGACUUAUUGGGCGUAAAGGGCGCGUAGGCGGUGCGGUAAGUCUGCUGUGAAAUCUCCGGGCUCAACUCGGAGCCUGCAACGGAAACUGCCGUGCUGGAGUAUGGGAGAGGUGAGUGGAAUUCCCGGUGUAGCGGUGAAAUGCGUAGAUAGCGGGAGGAACAGCUGUGGCGAAAGCGGCUCACUGGACCAUAACUGACGCUGAGGCGCGAAAGCUAGGGGAGCAAACAGG
rnacentral:rRNA from 1 species